rnacentral:rRNA from 1 species
AGUGAGCGCUGGCGGUAGGCCUAACACAUGCAAGUCGAACGGCAGCACAGUAAGAGCUUGCUCUUACGGGUGGCGAGUGGCGGACGGGUGAGGAAUACAUCGGAAUCUACUUUUUCGUGGGGGAUAACGUAGGGAAACUUACGCUAAUACCGCAUACGACCUACGGGUGAAAGCAGGGGAUCUUCGGACCUUGCGCGAUUGAAUGAGCCGAUGUCGGAUUAGCUAGUUGGCGGGGUAAAGGCCCACCAAGGCGACGAUCCGUAGCUGGUCUGAGAGGAUGAUCAGCCACACUGGAACUGAGACACGGUCCAGACUCCUACGGGAGGCAGCAGUGGGGAAUAUUGGACAAUGGGCGCAAGCCUGAUCCAGCCAUACCGCGUGGGUGAAGAAGGCCUUCGGGUUGUAAAGCCCUUUUGUUGGGAAAGAAAAGCAGCAGGUUAAUACCCCGCUGUUCUGGCGGUACCCAAAGAAUAAGCACCGGCUAACUUCGUG